GAGUAGUGAGUACUGAGAAGUCGUCACUAUAUAGUCUAACGUGCGCUAAAUACCAAAUACACGAAUAAACGGUUUGAAUCUACAGUACUACAGACGUAUAGUACCUAUUAUUGUAGUCAGUACUACAAUUGUACUUAUGCCGUAUGGUUCCGAGUUGGGAUACCUACAUUAAUCGUGCAUUUCUAUAAUUUAUUUUUCUAUAAAUCAAUUCAAAUCGAUCUUUUUACUCUUCAGUCGUAAACGCUAUUUGUAAUUUUUCACUAAAGUAUAAUAAAUAAUAAUACUACGACAGUCAUUUUUCAGACAGGUAAAAAAUAUUUUAUUCGACUAUACAUUCGGAGAAAUAAAAAUGACGUCGAUACCGAAAAACGUAAAAUUACGCCGAGAACUGGGUCUAUUCAGUGCCGUCUGCCUCAUUAUCAGCGUAAUGUUGGGAUCGGGAAUAUUCGUGUCUCCAGCCAAUGCGUUAAAAAACACAGGAUCUGUGGGCAUGUGUCUGAUCAUUUGGGCGUCUUGCGGGCUGUUAUCGCUUUUAGGUGCCAUGUCGUACGCCGAACUUGGCACGGUGGUAAAUAAGUCGGGAGGCGAGUUCAGUUUCUAUCAAUCUGCAUUCGCUGACAUGCACAAGUUCUGGGGACCUCUGCCGAGUUUCAUAUACUCUUGGGUGAGUAUCAUGUACGUUCGUCCAGCAGAGGUGGCCAUCAUUAUAUUGACGUUCUCCGAAUACUUCAUCCGGCCGUUCAGCAUUUUGACUUCCAUGACGCCCGAAACUGAACAUACAGUGAAAAAGACUGUCAGUAUACUUGCACUCGGUAUCAUAACUUUUAUCAACUAUACUAGUGUCAAGUGUUUCAUAAAAAUCCAAAACGUGUUCACUAUAUGUAAAGUUACUGCCUGCAUAUUUGUCAUAGUAGGUGGAUUAUACCAACUCUACCAGGGAAAUACUAAGAAUUUGAUGACCGGUUUCGAGGGCACGACGUUAUCUAUAGACACGCUUCCGAUAGCCUUUUACAGCGGCCUUUGGGCAUACGAUGGAUGGACGGCUACAACUGUGGUAUCCGAAGAAAUCAAAAAUCCUCAAAGAAACAUACUGCUCAGUAUUCUUUUGGCGGUACCGUUUGUCACAAUGAUUUAUGUUUUGAUGAACGUAUCGUACUUAACAGUUCUGUCGGUCGCGGAAAUGACUUCAGUCCAGGCAGUAGCGGUAGAAUUUGGAACUCGAGCAUUGGGUAAUUUCAGUUUUAUUAUUCCGCUCGGUGUAGCCAUGGCAACAUUUGGUUGUGCGCUCAGUGUCCAAUUUGGAAUAACCAGGUUAUGCUUCGCAGCGAGUAGAGAAGGUCAAAUGUUGGAAGUUUUCUCUUACGUGAGCGUAAAAAAGUUAACGCCUGCUCCCGCUGUAGUUUUACAGGGCUUGCUCACGUUAAUUUGUCUGUUGUGUGGAGACAUUGUGGUGUUAAUAGAGUUCGCUAGCUUCUUAGUGUGGAUGUUCUACGGUAUCUCCAUGGCGGCAUUGAUAGUGAUGCGUUAUACCAAGAGAGACGUUAAACGUCCAUUCAAAGUAAACACAUCAUUAUAUUGUCGUACUAACGACAUUAAUGCUAUUUAUCACCUAUAUGGUGGUGCCUAAUAAUGUCUCUCCCGUGUCCUACUAUGGACUUAUAGGAUACUCUAUAUAUCGGGGGAAAAUAACAUGAUGAAAUUAUUCAUCUUACAUCGAUUUGAUAAAUCAGUUAUAUUGUUACUCCGGGUCGUUAUAUAAUUCCGUUUGUCACCUUUAUGGUGACGGUACAGUUCGUAUAAUAUAAUUUAGUAACGUUUUCUUCGAUGUCCUACUAUGGGCUUUAUAUAUGACUCGGUGCGUCGAGGGAACGUGUAUAUGUUGCGAAAUAAUAUGAUGAAAAUAUUCAUCUUAUAUGUGUAUUGGAUCGAAUAAAUCGAUUGUUCUGGGUCCUCAAAGGACUUAAAAUUCCUACCGCAUUCAGAAAUGGAUGCGGUAUAAGACUAUAUAAUAAUAUUAUAUUAUAUUAAUUUUCCGUGAUUAUGUUUCUUUCACUAGUGUCCAAUUGUUUAUAGAUAAUAAUAUUUCGAAUAAUUAGGAGGGUAUUAUAAAACCGUUGUUCCGCCUGCACGACGAUGAUCAAAUAUAUGACACGGCAUUGUUUACGAUAACGAAAUGAAAUCCUAUAUAUAUAUACAGCUCUGCACAUACACACAAACUCGCAAACAAUAUAUAUAUAGGUUCCAAUCAUAAUUCCGAUAUUCGUGCUCAUCGUGUCUACCGUUUUAUUCAUCACGCCCAUACUCAACGACCCCAAACCACAGUUCCUUAUUGGUCUGGUGUUUAUUCUGUCAGCGUUUUUGAUAUACAUUCCAUUCGUU